ensembl:lncRNA
GGAAUUCUUACCUGACUUGCAGCUGGACCAACCCAAGCCUGUGGUGGGUUUUAAGCCUUUGCCAUUUAUCCAGGUCAUAACGAGGAUAAAAGGUCAAGGAAGGGUCCAGUGGGAUGAAGAAUGAGAGGAGGAGGACAGAAAGCAGUCACAUACUCCUGGCUGCACUUUCCCUUCCAUAAAACAAACUUAUAUCAUCUCCACCUCAUAGGGCCACCUGCAGAAGCCCAGAGCAGGAGCCUACCUUCCUAUUAAAUGACAAAUGGAACUGCUCCUUUUGGCGACCAGCAACCAGGAGAUACCAGGGAUGGUUCCACCAUCUUGGUCCAUAAAGUGGAAACUGAAACCUGUGAAAGUAUUGAGAAAAUGGCUGCCAUUCCUAUCCCUGCCCUUACUUUGUGGAGGAACAACAUACCUGAUCGGUGAAUUGGAAAUAAAGAGAUUCCUUGUGUGGUACUCCGUCUCUCAGGGGUCUGUCUUCAGACCAGCUGUAUUCCACCCAGCCCCAACUUCCAUUGCUGAGGCCAUGGCCAGGCCCAGGCCCACCUUGCUUUUCUUGGAGAAAGUGAUAGUGAUUCCAGACAAAUAUAU